rnacentral:lncRNA from 1 species
GUUGAAAUAUCUUACCAUCUGUACUGUCCAUGACUGAUUUAAUGUAGAAAGUCUUAUAAAUAAUGGCCGUAAUGCAAGUAUCACAUAAGCUUAAUUUCAUCAAUGAUCAAUGAUAAUAAGUUCAAGGUCAAAAGAACCCUGGCUAACAUACAUGUACACCUUAAAAUCACUCAAUACACCAAAUAUGGUUGACCUUUUGUCGCUUUUUGUUAUAAAAAAUCCAAACCAAACUAAGAAAACUUAAUGUUGACAAAUGAACCAUGAAAAUGAGGUCAAGAUCAG